ACGAACGCUGGCGGCGUGCUUCACACCUGCAAGUCGAACGGAAAGGCCCUGCUUUUGUGGGGUGCUCGAGUGGCGAACGGGUGAGUAACACGUGAGUAACCUGCCCUUGACUUUGGGAUAACUUCAGGAAGCUGGGGCUAAUACCGGAUAGGAGCUCCUGCUGCAUGGUGGGGGUUGGAAAGUUUCGGCGGUUGGGGAUGGACUCGCGGCUUAUCAGCUUGUUGGUGGGGUAGUGGCUUACCAAGGCUUUGACGGGUAGCCGGCCUGAGAGGGUGACCGGCCACAUUGGGACUGAGAUACGGCCCAGACUCCUACGGGAGGCAGCAGUGGGGAAUAUUGCACAAUGGGCGGAAGCCUGAUGCAGCAACGCCGCGUGCGGGAUGACGGCCUUCGGGUUGUAAACCGCUUUCGCCUGUGACGAAGCGUGAGUGACGGUAAUGGGUAAAGAAGCACCGGCUAACUACGUG
rnacentral:rRNA from 1 species